GCGCCCGUAGUUUAAUGGUAGAACAUGAGCUUCCCAAGCUUGUGGCGAGGGUUCGAUUCCCUCUGGGCGCA
rnacentral:tRNA from 1 species